rnacentral:rRNA from 1 species
UACGAAGGGGGCUAGCGUUGUUCGGAAUUACUGGGCGUAAAGCGCACGUAGGCGGAUAUUUAAGUCAGGGGUGAAAUCCCAGAGCUCAACUCUGGAACUGCCUUUGAUACUGGGUAUCUUGAGUAUGGAAGAGGUAAGUGGAAUUGCGAGUGUAGAGGUGAAAAUUCGUAGAUAUUCGCAGGAACACCAGUGGCGAAGGCGGCUUACUGGUCCAUUACUGACGCUGAGGUGCGAAAGCGUGGGAGCAACAGG